rnacentral:rRNA from 1 species
GAUUAACGCGAAGAACCUUACCUACGUUGAACUACGCGGGAAAAGCCAUGGAGACAUGGUGUCCGAAAGGGUCCGCGAUAGGUGGUGCAUGGCUGUCGUCAGCUCGUGUCGUGAGAUGUUGGGUUAAGUCCCGCAACGAGCGCAACCCUUGUCCUAUGUUGCCAGCGGGUAAUGCCGGGGACUCGUAGGAGACUGCCGGGGUCAACUCGGAGGAAGGUGGGGAUGACGUCAAGUCUGCAUGCCCCUUACGCGUAGGGCUGCUAACAUGCUACAACGGCCGGUACAAAGGGCUGCUAAUCCGCGAGGAGGAGCGAAUCCCAAAAAGCCGGUCUCAGUUCGGAUUGGAGUCUGCAACUCGACUCCAUGAAGUCGGAGUCGCUAGUAAUCCCGGAUCAGCUACGCCGGGGUGAAUACGUUCCCGGGCCUUGUACACACCGAAUC